rnacentral:rRNA from 1 species
AAUGAACGCUGGCGGCAUGCCUAACACAUGCAAGUCGAACGACAGCACAGUGAGAGCGUGCCUUUAACGUUGGCGAGGGGCGGACGAGUGACGAAUGCAUCAGCAUCUACUUUUUCUUGGAUAAUAACGGAAGACAGCUGACACUAAUAGCUCAUACGUCCUACGGGUUGAAUCAGGGGUUCUUCGCGGCUUUCGUGAUUGAUUGAGCCGAUGUCGGAUUAGCUUGUUGUGAGGGUAACGGCCCACCAAGGCUACGAUGCGUAGCUGAGCUGAGAGGAUGAUCAGCCACACUGGAACUGAGACACGGUCCAGACUCCUACGGGAGGCAGCAGUAGGGAAUCUUGCGCAAUGGGCGAAAGCCUGACGGAGCAAUGCCGCGUGAGUGAAGAAGGUCUUCGGAUCGUAAAACUCUGUUAUUAGGGAAGAAAAAAUGUGUAAGAAACUAUGGACGUCUUGACGGUACCUAAACAGAAAGCCACGGCUAACUACGUG